rnacentral:rRNA from 1 species
GGAGUUUGGGCCGUGUCUCAGUCCCAAUGUGGCCGGUCGCCCUCUCAGGCCGGCUACUGAUCGUCGCUUUGGUAGGCCGUUACCCUGCCAACUGGCUAAUCAGACGCGGGGCCAUCCCAUUCCACCUCAGUUUUUCACACUGUGAGAUGUCUCACUGUGCGCUUAUGCGGUAUUAACAGUCGUUUCCAACUGGUAUCCCCCGGAAUGGGGCAGGUUCCCCACGCGUUACUCACCCGUCCGCCACUCGGUCUGCACCGCUUCCAUCCGAAAACUUCCGCAGUACAGCCUCGUUCGACUUGCAUGUGUUAAGCACGCCGCCAGCGUUCAUC